UAUUUUGGUUGGUGUCAACUUUUUUUUCCGUUGGUUGCUUGCAUCAAAUAAAUUUGUACAAUUUUGAGGGCAAAUAUUGUGUGAUUAUUUUUGUCGGUGGAUGGGGUUGAAGCUAUUUUGGAGUCAGAAUAGACGUGUCCCUGGAUGAUUGGCACUCUAGAUAGCUUUUGGUGCAAAAUUUAUCUACUUUUGAAGAAAUUCUGGUAUUGUUGUAGUUGAGUGAUCAGAUUCACUCAUCGCUAACAGAUCUAGCAAAUAAGUAACCUGUCGACUGUUGCAUAACAGAGGCAGUUAUGGGUGCCUCAUGAAUGGAGGUAAGCACAUAAAUGUAUUCCUUUUCUCCUUUGAAAAUUUCUCUAAUUUGUAGGUUUUAUUCAUAUAAUUAUAUUAAUGAAGGCAUGAAUCUUGUUGGCAAGCCGCAAAAAUAUUGAGGAAAAUCUUCUUUCCUUCUUUUUGGGUGUGCGUAUGCUGUGAUUUUCAGAUUAGUUCCCAACAGAAUUUCAAUCAUUCAUUUAUGACACCCUUGACCUGACCGAAACUAUAACACAACUGUUCUGUUGGGUUGUUGUAUUCGAUCUAUUUCUGUAACAAUGAUCAAAAAUUCCACUUCCACUUAUUUGAUUGGUGCAUAAAGACCCUGAUUAUGUGGGCCUGCAUAUUGGUUAUCUGCAGGCAUUUACAAAGUCUCUUGCAAUAACAAUUCUUUCAGAGAUUGGGGACAGGACCUUUUCCAUGGCUGUUUAAGUCUAGAGUCUAAUGGCUGGUUAAUAGGAAGGUUUUUUAUAGAGCAAUUGCAAUUGUUUGGUAAUGGAAACUGCAGGCGUUUCAAGAAUAGGUUAGUUAACAGUGCUUGGUUGUUAGCGUGCAUGCUAUCUUUCCUUUAUGUCAAUACUGCAUGCUGCAUUUAUGUUUUGGAUAUCUGUUUUAAUGUCUUCUUACUGUUUUGAAUUGAUCCUCUAGUAGGCCAAGAAAAACACUUUCUGUAAAUAAGGCACUGUUUAUUAUCUUUAGGAAGCAUUCUAUAGUAUAAGGAUUGCAAUUUUUUGUGCAUAUUUUUUGUUUGCUUGGAUGGUUCAAUGGAACUUGUAUUUGGAGAUUGUUUCUAAGUUGAUCCUGGAAAGACAUCAGUUUUGAUUGAAUUAGAAUUAGGUACUGUUUAUAUGUGACAAAGUAUCAUUUCCCAAUUUGGCAACAUUCCAAUGCAUUUUCUUAUAGUAACGAAUUUUCUAGUUUGUUCUUUGUUUUUUUAUUGGAUGGUUCAAGGGAAAUAUUUGCGGUAUGAUAUUGUAAUACAGGUGUGCUUGGCUUUGCGGUUUACUUUUAUGCAGCAACUCAACUUGUUAGUGCUGGAAAUCCUUCAUCAUACGGUUCUGCUGUGUUGUUGAUCUGUGAAGAUGCAUUAGGGGCCUGUGUUAUAGUGCUUUUAUGAGUCUGGAGGAUUUUUAAUUAUACAGUAACUUGACUUGUCUGGUACAGGAAACCCAUUAUCAUUGUUUGGUACGAGAAACCCAUUAUCAUAUUGUUCAAUUAUGUGCUGUUGAUAGGAUACAUUAGCAGCUUGUAUUCCAGUGUUUUAAUGAGUUUUGAUAGAUUUUCUGGUUUAUCGUGUAAUUUGAAUGGAUGAUUCUAAUUAACUGCCAAACCUGAAUGCAAUGUGUAUCCCUAGUUCUAAGAUAUAGAUAGUUGUUGACAUCAUGUUCUAUGAUGCUUAUGCGUUAUUGGUAAUUUGAAAUCUGACCUUUGGACUUUGACAGUGCCUGAUCCAAGGCCCAAGCCCAGUUGUCUCAUUUGUUUGUGAUCCUUUAUAGCUGGUCAGUAUUGCAACAAUUGCAUUAUAUUUGCUUUGGAAGUAUCCUGGUUAGUAGGUGAAAUUAUAGUUGUAUCUAUGGUUCUGGUUGAACCAUUAAAAGCAUUGAUUAUUUCUUCUUAUUUUGGUUUGAAACUCUAAUUAUUUAACUUUUAGAUUAGUGUUGCUAUUGCAUCAAAUCCCAUGCCAACUGAGUUAGAGUUUGGGCGAGUAGAGCUUCAUUAUUUAAUCACCGAGCGACUGUAAUCAAGAGAGUUCUCAGGAUAAUUCCCAGCUGGAGACUCAGAUCAGGGAUAGAGAUCAUAACAGUACUGGCUAGUAAUGCCAACCCUGUAAUCUUCUUUUUCUCAUAAGACCUUAAGUGUUGUGCCAGGUCUGAGUUUCUCUGUUAACAUUCCAUACUUGGAUCAGUUAAUUACUAAUAUCAUCUUAGCUGUAUAUUAUUCUUAUUCCUGGGUUUGAUGUCACAAUUUAAAUUGCCUGAUAAAGCUGGGUAUACAGAAACUAUCUAUUAAUGUAUUGUGGUAUACUUGUUUAAUAUUUUAAACUGUUAAAUGAUCUCUGUGAUUGAAUCGAAUUGAAAGGUAAAGACCCUAGGUUAUUUACACCCUCUAAUAGGUUACAUGUAGUCCGAGAGCUGUAAAAUAUGGCACAAUUCUUCUAAAUUCCCUGGAUGUAUCUAAGAUUAACCUGUUGUGCUCAUAUUUAAAACUAUCCCAAAGCCAAACCUUAAGGAAAUAGCUUAGUAUAUGCAGGCUAGAAUUUCGCUUUGGUUCUGUUAUAUUUAUACUGUUCAGUUUCAACAUGCUCCUUUCAGAAACUAUGCAAAACCAGGACACUUGACGUGUGCCAUCAUGUGGUUUAUUUAUUUUCAACCAUUUACAUUUUUGCGUAAUAAAAAAUCACACAAAAAAUAAAGCACAGCCAUGCACAUGCAUAUUGAACUGGGCUUAAUGCCUGAACAAUCAUUUACAAAAUAUGUCAGAGGAUAUGUUUUGCUUACAACCAGUUUUUGUCUGUAAAGUCAUAAAAUUGUGACCUUGCAAUUUUUGACCGCAUUUGGGUCUUCACAUUGGCGAAACGAAUCUCUAAGCCUGAUUGGAGACCCGAGACAUGCUCGCACUGCCUGAAACAUGCAUUUCCUCGCAUCCUGCACUGCUUGUUCUUGCUUCCUGUCCUGGAUUAGGGCAGGACAGGGGCGUGGUGCCCUUCUCCUUGCCCUAUUUUGGGCCCCCCUCCACUUUAAGUCCUGCAUUGGGCUUGUCAAUGAGAAGCGGGGAAAGGUUGUCUAUGUUAGCCUAAGACGGAAAAUCAGUUACAAACCCUAAUUGGCAAGUAUAUAAGACAUUUUUCCCCUCUCAUUUGCAUAAGUCGAUGAGUUCAUUAAGUUCAAUAAGCGAAAAAGUAAGGAGAACAAGCAUUAUCGUCAUUCAAGCAUCCAAGCAUUCAAGCAUCCCUUUCAAGCAUUGAGCAUCUCAAGUCUCCUUUCAAGGCUAAGUGUUGCAUUCAAGUCAAGGAUUCAACCAUUGAAGAGGAGAUCUCUAUCAACAUUCAAAGCAUUCAGUUCCCACAUAUCCUUUCAAACAACUCUAUCAACAUUUCAAUUGCAUCCUCUCUUGAGGUGAAUUCUACUUUAGUCAUUUACUUUCAUUUACUUGCAAGUACUUUUCAUCAUUUGGUUAAUUCCAAAACCGGGGUUUGGCCUAAAGGCAAACCCCCAAUCCCAACAACAUUUCCUCUCUUUUUUGUGUGUAGGUUGUAGGUGCAGAGCUGUAUUUGCAGGUUUAAGCUUCAUUUUCAGAGACGGAAAAACCCUUUUCGGCUUGCGGAUUUUUCGGAGGACCGAGUACACUUUCAACACGGUCCCGACAACUUUCGCUCAAAUUUACAGGGGAGCUUCGUCUCGGCAUUUUACUUCUAAUUCCAGGUGCACAGCUUCAUCCUGCAUUUCUAUCUCAAGUUAUAAUCAUUUCUUUGCUAUCUUUACACUUAGUCUCAAUUCACGUAAUUCAUCCUAUCCAUUCUAAAAGAGGGGUUUACUUUUACUUUCCAAAUUCAUUGUCAAUUCACUUGGCAAUUAGCAUUCAAUCUCUCCAUUGAUAUUGGAUCUAGUGAAUUCAACCCCCCUCUUUUAAAUGUUAUGCGUGAAAGAGGUUGAAGAGGAUCUUUGUGAAACUUUCACUCCUUUCGUGAGGAGGAUAAAGCUUUCCACUUGAUCUCCUUAUCACCCCUUUUUCACCAUUACACUGCCAUACAAUUAGAGGCACAACUAGCUUGUGAUCAUUGCACAAUGUUAUCUCAAUUUGUAAACUAAAAAAUAUAUGAAUAAUAGCAAAUGCAGUAUUACACUUUAUUGUCUUUUGCUUUUUCUCUUUUUUUUUUCACUUUAUUUUCCUUAAACUUUCCUGAUAAUUAAAUUUACCGUUUGAGCAAUUUAUGAUUUACGCAUUUCUUCAAUCCUUUCAAAUUAUUUGGUUUUUCUAAUCUAUAUCCUAGUCUCCGAAUGGUACUAUAGCCACUGAUGAAAUUGAUUACAUGUCACACUAAUUGUAAAUGCUUUACCCAUAUGUCAAUGUUUCUGCAGGCUCUCACUGGCUGAUGUCUAGUAAAAACGCUACAAAACAAAAUUUUGUGAAUACACUAAAAUAUCAUCUUGAGUAAGAUCCAGAAAAAAAUACUUCAGUUUAAAAAACUUUCAUACCGAGUGAAUUUCCCCCAUACACGGAUUUAGUCCUUUGUUGCUAUCUGUUUGUUACUUAUCAACCCACUUGUCAUCAGACAGUACACAUUGAGUAGAAAUCCAAAACAAUCUAGAUUCUGAACUAACAACAAAUCCCUGAUUCUCCUACUCAUACAUAUGCAGAUUGAGUCAUUUGUAUCUUCUUCUUCUGUCUAUAGUGACAAAUAAUUGCGAAAACAUAGCAACGCACUUAGGAACGAUGAACAACAAGAGGAGAACAAUCAUGUUGUAAAUAUGCAACCGCAUGCGUCACAUCUGGUGCAAUGUUCAAUCUCAUUUUUAAACUCAACCUGCAAUCUUGGUGUAACUUUAGUUCGAAGCAUCCCUUUGACAUUAAUUGGAGCACUAGAGCCCUGGAUCCUGGUGUUGAGCAACAGGAGAAGCAAAAAUGGAGGCUAGGUAAAGAGAAGGAAAAACUUCCUGCACGGCCAACGAAGGUUACAUCAGAUGUUAGUAGAAUAAUAUGGAAAAAAAACAAUAAUCAACGUUAAUGCAAGUUGUCAAUAUUGAUCAAGUUGCCAUUAAAGAUUAGAUGUGAGAUAUGGAUGCUUACCAUUUACUUGCCAUUAAACAAUUAGAUCUGAGAUUUUGGAAGCUUUUACCUGAUGCAGCUAAAACUUCUUUUCCCACGAUAUGAUAGUUGUUUGCAGGCGUGAGAUAGGUUUACCAGUCAUUUAUAGACUUGCAAGUCCACCUAGAGAAGCAUAUUGGGCCUUGGCUAUUAAACCGGUAAUUGUGUUUAGGAUUAUGUUCUAUAUAUCAUUAACAUAAGAUUGUAUUUAAGUCUUCUGAACUUAUGAAAUCAAUUCUAUUCAUGGCCUUCUAUUUUAUCAUUAACAUCUGGUGCUGAUAAAUUUUGGGUGAAUUCUUUUGUAAUUAUGGCCACCAAUAGCAGGUAAAUGGGAUGUGAAUUCUUUGGAUUGCUUUGUAAUAAUUUACUAUCUUGAUGGUUUUUCGAAUUAUAGUAAUUUGGAUUGAUAUCUAUUGGGAUAUGGGUAUCAACAAUUUAGAAUGAAGAUUUGAGACUGCUCUCCUAUCCUAUGAAAUGAAUCCUUACAAGUAUUAUUAAGUUUAUUUUUUCUGCUAUUUUCACAGCACAAGGAGUCUGAUCUUCUGAUUUGCAGGCGGUUUUUUAUUUGUUAAUAUCAUCUUCCUAUUGUUGAUGUUGUGUAGACUAAGUAGCUGGUUUUGCGCACACAAAAAAUGUUGUUGCAAAUGCAAAUUGAUUGUAAUACUCUUGAUACUAUAACUAGGGAUAAUUAUAAAAUUAUGAAGAUCGAAUAUACUGGUUACUUCACCAUAGAUUUGACUUAGCUUAAAACCAUGUCAAAAUAACACUCCUAUGGUAGUGUUAUUUCUUCUAGUUGCCAUUUCUAUGUCCAAUAAGUUUGUGGUUAUUGGUUAUCACACGAUCAAUACUUAUGCUAUGGGGGUUGGGGAGUGGUGAGAUGUUUAUCAAGUAUCAACAUGCUACCCUCAAAGUGAUCUACCAUAUUGCCGUAAUGGCUGUUGUGAAAUUAGCCUUCCAACAACCAUCACGACAGUAUGGUGGAUCACUUUGAGGGUAACAUGUCGAUACACAUCUCGCCUCUCCCCAACCCCCAUAUGCAUAAGUAUCGACCAUGUGGUAGCCAAUAAUCACAAAUUUAUUGAACAUGGAAAUGAUGAAAAGAUUGGGCUGAGGUAGCAGGGAAAACACUACUAUAGUAGUGUUAUUUUGACACAAUGUGGUUUUAAGUGAAGUCGAAUCUACGAUGAGGUAACCAGUAUAAUCGAUCUCCAUAAUCUUAUAAUAAUCCCGAGCUCUAGUGUCAAAAUUAUUACCCUGGUAGGCAGAAUGGAAUGGAGCCAUCAUCCUUCCUGCACGUGAGUUGAAAACUCGGAUAUCCAUAAGCCGAAUUGUCAAUCUAGAAAGAUUAACUUACACUCAUUGAGCCACACGUUUGAGGAUCACAUUUUGCAGCAGCAGAGCCCACCAGGGAGCUGAAUUUAUUUUGCCAUAAAGGCCUACCAACAUCUCACCAUAAAUUAUAGCAACAGAAGCAUCUAUGGAGACAAGAAUCAUAAACUGGUUAAGGCGGUUUGUAUCAGCAAUCCAAGGUAAGCAUACUUUACGGUAAAGGCUUUUAGAAGUUUAUCUCUAAUGAUUUUCUUUUUCUCAAGAUCUAUCAGUAAGUUUUGACUGACAUUGCUUGUGACUUUAAAAGUCCCAUUCAAAGUGUUAUUCUGAAAAUUUCUAAAACAUUAUUCAUAAUAUUUAGCAAUUGAACUAAUGAUUCUGAUUAUAGUUUAAUAAAAUAUGUUUUGACACUCGCAAAUCAGGAAGGAGCAGCUCUAGAACCUUGGGAUAAAUCUCCUUUGUAAAUCUUACAUGUUUCAUUGCUCUGAGGGAAAAAUACAAAUAAGAAAAACAUAGUUUAUUUCCUUGGUGGUAGAUUCAGUAAAACAUGGGCUAGCAUCUGGCAAUAAAAAAUUCUACAUUGUUAACUGUUGUAAAGUAACCAAUUAUGGAGGAAUUUCCAAGGAAUCAAAUGAAUUGUUCAAAUCUUUGAUAAGAAUGAUCAUUAGUGUGUACAUCUUAAGCAUUCAAGGUCAUUAGUGUGUACAUCGAAAGCAUUCAAACAAGAUUGUUGCCUAACAACUACAUCGGCAUAAUGAAGGCAGGUCAAAUUGGAUAAGUUAGAUAUAGGUCCAUUCAAUUUGUUGUUUGUUAUAUAUAUAAUGACAAAAAGAACCAAAGAUAUUGUUUGA